AUUAAACGCUGGCGGCAUGCCUUACACAUGCAAGUCGAACGGCAGCACGGGGGCAACCCUGGUGGCGAGUGGCGGACGGGUGAGUAAAGCAUCGGAACGUAUCCUGGAGUGGGGGGAUAACGUAGCGAAAGUUACGCUAAUACCGCAUAUUCUGUGAGCAGGAAAGCAGGGGAUCGCAAGACCUUGCGCUCUGGGAGCGGCCGAUGUCGGAUUAGCUAGUUGGUGGGGUAAAGGCUUACCAAGGCGACGAUCCGUAGCGGGUCUGAGAGGAUGAUCCGCCACACUGGAACUGAGACACGGUCCAGACUCCUACGGGAGGCAGCAGUGGGGAAUUUUGGACAAUGGGCGCAAGCCUGAUCCAGCCAUGCCGCGUGAGUGAAGAAGGCC
rnacentral:rRNA from 1 species